rnacentral:rRNA from 1 species
AUUGAACGCUGGCGGCAGGCCUAACACAUGCAAGUCGAACGGUAACAGGAAGCAGCUCGCUGCUUCGCUGACGAGUGGCGGACGGGUGAGUAAUGUCUGGGAAACUGCCUGAUGGAGGGGGAUAACUACUGGAAACGGUAGCUAAUACCGCAUAGCGUCGCAAGACCAAAGAGGGGGACCUUCGGGCCUCUUGCCAUCGGAUGUGCCCAGAUGGGAUUAGCUAGUAGGUGGGGUAACGGCUCACCUAGGCGACGAUCCCUAGCUGGUCUGAGAGGAUGACCAGCCACACUGGAACUGAGACACGGUCCAGACUCCUACGGGAGGCAGCAGUGGGGAAUAUUGCACAAUGGGCGCAAGCCUGAUGCAGCCAUGCCGCGUGUAUGGAGAAGGCCUUCGGGUUGUAAAGUACUUUCAGCGGGGAGGAAGGCGAUAAGGUUAAUAACCUUGUCGAUUGACGUUACCCGCAGAAGAAGCACCGGCUAACUCCGUACCAGCCGCCGCCGUAA